rnacentral:rRNA from 1 species
AGUGAACGCUGGCGGUAGGCCUAACACAUGCAAGUCGAACGGCAGCACAGUAAGAGCUUGCUCUUACGGGUGGCGGGUGGCGGACGGGUGAGGAAUACAUCGGACUCUACUUUUUCGUGGGGGAUAACGUAGGGGAACUUACGCUCAUACCGCAUCCGCCCUACGGGUGAAGGCAGGGGAUCUUCGCACCUUGCGCGAUUGAAUGAGCCGAUGUCGGAUUAGCUAGUUGGCGGGGUAAAGGCCCACCCAGGCGACGAUCCGUAGCUGGUCUGAGAGGAUGGUCGGCCACACUGGAACUGAGACACGGUCCAGACUCCUAAGGGAGGCAGCAGUGGGGAAUGUUAGACAACGGGCGCAAGCCUGAUCCAGCCAGACCGCGUGGGUGAAGAAGGCCUUGGGGUUGUAAAGACCUUUUGUGGGGAAAGAAAAGCAGCAGCUUAAGACGACGCGGUACUGACGGUACCCAAAGAAGAAGCACCGGCUAACUUCGUG